AACGAACGCUGGCGGCAUGCCUAACACAUGCAAGUCGAACGAGACCUUCGGGUUUAGUGGCGCACGGGUGCGUAACGCGUGGGAAACUGCCCUUAGGUUCGGAAUAACUCCCCGAAAGGGGUGCUAAUACCGGAUAAUGUCUUCGGACCAAAGAUUUAGCGACGUUGGAUGGGCCCGCGUUGGAUUAGCUAGUUGGUAGGGUAAAAGCCUACGAAGGCGACGAUCCAUAGCUGGUCUGAGAGGAUGAUCAGCCACACUGGGACUGAGACACGGCCCAGACUCCUACGGGAGGCAGCAGUGGGGAAUAUUGGAAAAUGGGCGGAAGCCUGAUCCAGCAAUGCCGCGUGAGUGAUGAAGGCCUUAGGGUUGUAAAGCUCUUUUACCCGGGAUGAUAAUGACGGUACCGGGAGAAUAAGCUCCGGCUAACUCCGUG
rnacentral:rRNA from 1 species